GACGAACGCUGGCGGCGUGCCUAAUACAUGCAAGUCGAGCGAAUCAAUAGGAGCUUGCUCCUGUUGGUUAGCAGCGGACGGGUGAGUAACACGUGGGCAACCUGCCUGUAAGACUGGGAUAACACCGGGAAACCGGUGCUAAUACCGGAUAAUCCUUUUCCUCUCAUGAGGAAAAGCUGAAAGUCGGUUUCGGCUGACACUUACAGAUGGGACCGCGGCGCAAUAGCUAGUUGGUGAGGUAACGGCUCACCAAGGCGACGCUGCGUAGCCGACCUGAACGGGUGAUCGGCCACACUGGGACUGAGACACGGCCCAGACUCCUACGGGAGGCAGCAGUAGGGAAUCUUCCACAAUGGACGAAAGUCUGAUGGAGCAACGCCGCGUGAGCGAUGAAGGCCUUCGGGUCGUAAAGCUCUGUUGUUAGGGAAGAACAAGUACCGGAGUAACUGCCGGUACCUUGACGGUACCUAACCAGAAAGCCACGGCUAACUACGUGCCAGCCGCCGCCGUAA
rnacentral:rRNA from 1 species